UUUGAAUCAAGAACCGACGGGUAUGGUUCGGUUCUCAGUUCUAGGCCAAAACCCGAAAAACCGAAUCUCCGUAAUUUUUUUAAUUAAUUUAUUUUAAAUAAGUAAAAUUAUUUUAUUUUUUCUAAAUAAAUUUGUUAACUAGUUAAUUUAGUUCAAACCACAAAAUAUGAUUUUCUUAUUUCUAAUUUUCAGUUCAAAAUCA
rnacentral:lncRNA from 1 species